AUGUACAUUCCUACAACAUAGUGUUAAUGCACCAGAUUCCAUUAGAACUCUGAAGUUAAGCAUGCUUAGGCUAGAGUAGUACUGGGAUGCGUGACCGCUAGGGGAAGUCCUAGUGUUUUACAUG
rnacentral:rRNA from 1 species